AGACUGACGGGGGGCUUGCACAUUUCCAUUUAUUGCAAACUCAUCGUCAGCCUUCUC
rnacentral:pre_miRNA from 1 species